UGUUGUAAGAAGAACACGUAUGAGAGUAACUGUUCAUACGUUGACGGUAUUUAACCAGAAAGUCACGGCUAACUACGUGCCAGCAGCCGCGGUAAUACGUAGGUGGCAAGCGUUAUCCGGAUUUAUUGGGCGUAAAGAGAGUGCAGGCGGUUUUCUAAGUCUGAUGUGAAAGCCUUCGGCUUAACCGGAGAAGUGCAUCGGAAACUGGAUAACUUGAGUGCAGAAGAGGGUAGUGGAACUCCAUGUGUAGCGGUGGAAUGCGUAGAUAUAUGGAAGAACACCAGUGGCGAAGGCGGCUACCUGGUCUGCAACUGACGCUGAGACUCGAAAGCAUGGGUAGCGAACAGGAUUAGAUACCCUGGUAG
rnacentral:rRNA from 1 species